rnacentral:rRNA from 1 species
AUACCAGGCGUCNACGGGUAGCCGGCCUGAGAGGGUGGACGGCCACAUUGGGACUGAGACACGGCCCAAACUCCUACGGGAGGCAGCAGUGGGGAAUAUUGCACAAUGGGCGCAAGCCUGAUGCAGCGACGCCGCGUGGGGGAUGACGGCCUUCGGGUUGUAAACUCCUUUCAACCAUGACGAAGCUUUUUGUGACGGUAGUGGUAGAAGAAGCACCGGCUAACUACGUGCCAGCAGCCGCGGUAAUACAAAA